UACGUAGGGGGCGAGCGUUGUCCGGAUUUAUUGGGCGUAAAGAGCGUGUAGGCGGCCAGGUAGGUCUGCUGUGAAAACUCGAGGCUCAACCUCGAGACGUCGGCGGAAACCAUCUGGCUAGAGUCCGGAAGAGGAGAGUGGAAUUCCUGGUGUAGCGGUGAAAUGCGCAGAUAUCAAGUGGAACACCAGUGGCGAAGGCGAGUCCCUGGACAACUCCUGACACUGAGGCACGAAAGCUAGGGGAGCAAACAGG
rnacentral:rRNA from 1 species